GAUGAACGCUGGCGGCGUGCCUAAUACAUGCAAGUCGAGCGAACGGACGAGAAGCUUGCUUUUCUGAUGUUAGCGGCGGACGGGUGAGUAACACGUGGAUAACCUACCUAUAAGACUGGGAUAACUUCGGGAAACCGGAGCUAAUACCGUAUAAUAUUUUGAACCGCAUGGUUCAAAAGUGAAAGACGGUCUUGCUGUCACUUAUAGAUGGAUCCGCGCUGCAUUAGCUAGUUGGUAAGGUAACGGCUUACCAAGGCAACGAUGCAUAGCCGACCUGAGAGGGUGAUCGGCCACACUGGAACUGAGCCACGGUCCAGACUCCUACGGGAGGCAGCAGUAGGGAAUCUUCCGCAAUGGGCGAAAGCCUGACGGAGCAACGCCGCGUGAGUGAUGAAGGUCUUCGGAUCGUAAAACUCUGUUAUUAGGGAAGAACAUCUGUGUAAGUAACUGUGCACAUCUUGACGGUACCUAAUCAGAAAGCCACGGCUAACUACGUG
rnacentral:rRNA from 1 species